rnacentral:lncRNA from 1 species
AUGGGCCUCCUUUGCCAAGGAUUAGUUUCUCUUUUUUGUUUUUUUUAGAAAUUCUGAAUGUGUUGAAAAGGCUUUAGAGGGAUUUAAAAUAUAGGAAAUAACAAGGUCUGACUUAAAUUUACAAAAGAUCUCUCUAGCAGCUGAUGGGCGACAGUCUAUAGGGAGCAAGAGCAGAAGAUCUAUUCUCCUCAGGGCAGACAAUAGGCACCUUUCAAGGACGAGGCAAGUAAGGCCCAGAGAGCUGACAAGAUCUGUCCUAGCUCACUCCAUUUUGUACUUUUGGUUCCCAGACCAGUGGCCCUUUGUGGCUACACAUUCUCUAACUGAGGCACAACUGACCAGGCUCCAGGUGAAGCUUCUCGGCCUGCAUUACAGGUCCUGUUGUGCCCAACUCAUGAUUUAUCCAGGUCACACCAGUCUGGUCUGUCACAGUAAGAGGGCACCAUCACAUACACUAUAAUAUGAAUCAUGACCCCCGGAGUUGUGUGGAGUUUCUGCAUCUCUCCCUCCCCACUGUGGCUACCCUCAUCCAGCAACCAUCCUGUCUCUCACCGGUAUUACCGCAGCUGAGACCCAGGUCUUAAGGAAGCUGAGACCCAGGCCAGCAGGGGCCUCACAGGUAGAAUGAAGCUUGGAAAAAGAGGAGGGUGUAAGACUCUGGAUGAAGCUGAGAGAUCCUUCCAUGCUUGGCUGAGAGACUACACAGACAUGAGCUUCAGGAGACUCCAAAGCCUCGGAUCCCCUUCUAAACUAGCACUGAAUUCUGAUUGGCUGUCUUUGCCUGCCUCAGUUUGUUCCUUUUACUGAUUGGCUAGGUUCUUCUGCCCAUGGCAGAGCCCUGCUCCAGCCACCGGAUCCUCCCACCUGCCACAGUGUCACCUGGGAUUGGCUGGGCUCUGAAAGGCCAGGCUGGCUUGACUCUUGCCAUCAUCAGAUUCUUCCUCAUUAAACAAAUGAAUCACAAUCCUAAUUAAUUUGAGCAACAGAAUUUAUGUAACUACUCCCAGCAGGAUGUCUGCUCUCAGUCAGCAGAGAGAUUACUUCCUCUCUCUGGGAAAUUCCAGCCUUGCUGGUCAAUAAGCCUUAAUGAUGACUGAAAUCUCCCAUCUGUCUCUGCUCAGGGCAGGUAACCCCUACUAAGCAGACACCCAGUUGGCUCGAGGCAGUACCCCGGGCACCGGCAGGACAAGGACAACGAUCUCCCAGCCUAGAUGUGUCCUGAGCCACAUGGAGCACACAGUAGGUGUUUACUUAAGGACAGGGGCUGCCCCUUCCAGGGAAGUUCUGAACCACUUAAAACCCACAGGAAGUGUUCAAUGUCUACUUAUGGAAUAAAUGAAAGGGAGGAUGUGUCACUCAGAUACUUAUAAAAUGGUCUCAAGAUCCUAAACUCCAAGCAAGCUUCUCCAGCUCUUUCCAGCCUUUGCUCCCCCUAUUUCCCAUGACCAUAACCCAAUUCUGUCUUUUUCCUAUUUUGAACUUUCCAGACUCAGAAAUUUGGCUCUUCAUGUUCCCUGCCCUUGAACCGUCCCAGCCCUCUCUCCAAAACAGGCUUCAUGCUGGCUGCAUGGGAGGGAGGGGUAGCAAAGUGGAAAGUGUUACAGAAUUAGUGCUAAUUCUGGCUUUGUCACUUACUCAUUGUACUUCACCUCUCUGUUCUUAACUUUUCUCUCAUACAUAAACCACACGGGGUUCUUGGGAAGAUUAAAUAAGAAAACAUGGUGAAAAUGUAUUGCACAGUACUUGACUCAUUUAAUUGGUGACAGACAGUGUUUUAGGUAAUGGAGAUACAGUGGUGCUCAAGGCAGGCAAGAUUCCUGCUCCCAAAGAAUUUAAUUUCCAGGAGACAAGAAGCAAGCUAGCAAAUGUAUAAGAUAAUAGUUAGGGAACAGUACUCAGCAAAAAUAAAAAAUGUAUGGAGAGGGACUGAGGGGAGUGAGGAACUCUUUGAGGAGGUGCCACUCUGAGACCCAAAUGACAAGAAGGAAUUAACCACAUGACAUUCUAGAAAGAGGGAAAAGAGUUGCUGUUAAGAAGAUGUGGGUGUGUUAAAAAAAAAUUGCAAAGUCCCUUAGGUACGAUUGAGCUGCUAAUGAUCAAUCUGAGGCUUCUGCUCUGUGUCUUAUAGGUAAACGGGGUAAGGUUUGGUAGGACUGAAAAAUUCAUCCAGCCACCUAUCUAGGGGGUGUGAGGGUCAAGAUGUGGACCCAGGUCUUCUGCCCUUAAGAGCAGAGUGCUUGUCACUACAGCACAAAGAAGGUGCAAGAGAAAGGAAAAGUGAGUGGGAGGCGGUGAGGGAGGAACAGACUGCCUUGUCCUCCACCAGAUCUAAAUCUGUCUCCUCCUGAUGGUUGGCAGGAUUACAGGAUCUGACUCCCAUUUGGGCCUUCCACCUCCGCUGGCCUAAGCAGUCAAGUGUCAGAGAGCACUGGACCUAACAGCUCCCUCACCAGAGCAGCUGUGAUUCCUUCUUCAUUUCCAGCAGGGAAGACCCAACAACUUUUAUAAUAUGGGAUUUCUUUUAUUCUCAUGAUAAUAAUGUUCAUUGUGGAAAAUAAAAAAAAAUGAUAAAAUAAAAAUCAGCCAGAAUUCCAACUUCUGGAGAUUUUGGUGUCUUUCUGCAAAGUUCCUAUGCACAUAGAUACUUUAUAAAAUUAUGAACAUACUGUACAUACAGUUUUGGAAUAUGCCUUUUUCCUUCUGUCAUGAAAAAGUCUUCAAAUGCCUUUUAACAGCUACACAAUAGUUCACUACAUGAACCAACUCAAAUGUAACUAUUUUUGGCCUUUUGUUAUAAAUAACACAAGAACCCUCAGUCUUUGUUACAUAAUGUCCUAACAGAGUAGGGGAAAUGCUCCCCAAUCCGGUGCAAUGUCCUGUGCCCAGGGAAACCAAUU